rnacentral:rRNA from 1 species
CUCCUAGGAAGUCCUCGUGUUGCACCCCUCUCUUAUUCUUUGCAUUUUUUUCGUUGGGGUUAUCGUUUACGGCAAUCCAGCGCGCUCGCUUUGCAUGCACCCCUUUCAUUUUCUCUGCAUUUUUUUACGUUGGGCUCAAACUUUACGUCGGUCCAGCACGCUCGCUUUGUUGGCUUAGCCCGCCCCAGGCCUAGAACACGAGCCGCGGAUCUAGUUUUCUGUGCUAAAGCGUCGCAGCGACAUCGAAAUCCGCAGAACCCCUUCGGGUUGCACCUCUCCGGCCUUAAAGUGCAUCGUUGCAUUUGGAUCGUUUUAUAAGAAUUAAAUGCACUUAUGUUGAUGGGUGCGAUCAUACCAACACCAAUGCACCGCA